rnacentral:pre_miRNA from 1 species
UAAGUACUCCCUCCGUCCCAAAAUUCUUGUCUUAGAUUUGUCUAAAUACGGAUGUAUCAAGUCAAGUUUUAGUGUUAGAUACAUCCGUAUCUAGACAAGUCUAAGACAAGUAUUUUGGGACGGAGGGAGUAUGAU